rnacentral:rRNA from 1 species
GACAGAGGUGCCAAGCGUUAGGCGGAAUCACUGGGCUUAAAGCGUGUGUAGGCGGAUCGUUAAGUCGGGGGUGAAAUCCUGGAGCUCAACUCCAGAACUGCCUUCGAUACUGGCGAUCUCGAGUUCGGGAGAGGUGAGUGGAACUGCGAGUGUAGAGGUGAAAUUCGUAGAUAUUGGGAAGAACACCAGUGGCGAAGGCGGACUCACGUGGCCCGUUAACGCGAACCG